AAGGUAUUGAAAWWAGAUUUUAAAUGAGUGCUAAGAGAAUGAUUAAACAAUUAAAAGCUUUCUUUAAUUGAAUAAUUGAAUUUAAUUUUUUAGUGCAAAAGCAAAAAUAAAAAUUAGGGACAAGAAGACCCUAUGAAUUUUUUAUUAAAUUUUAUAAAACUUUAUAUAAAAUUUAAUUUAAUUGGGGUGAUGGAAAAAGAAUAAAUAUCUUUUUUUAAAAGAAAAUUGGUUCCGUUCUUAGCGAUUAAAUGAAAAAAAUACUCUAGGGAUAACAGCGUAAA
rnacentral:rRNA from 1 species